AGGCAGGGUCUUUCUUGUUGCUCAGGAUGGAGUGCAGCGGCUAUUCACAGGCACAAUCAUAGCUUACUACAGCCUUGAACUCCUGGACUCAAGUGAUCCUACUACUUCAGCUUCCCGUGUAUCUGGGAUUACAGGAAGGAAAUAUUGGAGCCACUGAAGCAGUCGAUAGCUCAAGAUGGAGAGAGAGACUGGCAGGAAGCAACAAGAAAGAAAAUGCGUUGGAAACUGAGAAUGGCUAUGGCAAAAAGCAGCAAAGACCCUUGACUUCUAGUCCUUGAGGCAGGGGGCCAAAGCCAACACGGACCUACCAGGAGUGGCCUGAGAAUCCAGAACACAGAGAGGAGCAGCCUGCGUUGCGAUUUUCCCAGAACCCACAACACUUGUUCCACCAACAGUGAACAUCCAGAGGGAGGCUCAACCAUGGAACCUAUACUCUGUUAUGUGGUAAUCAUGCUUUCUCACCUUUUUGUUUUUUGAAAUAGGGUCUCACUCUG